GGAGGAAGGUGGGGAUGACGUCAAGUCAUCAUGGCCCUUAUGUCCUGGGCUACACACGUGCUACAAUGGCCGGUACAGAGCGCAGCGAUACCGCGAGGUGGAGCAAAUCGCAGAAAGCCGGUCUCAGUACGGAUUGGAGUCUGAAACCCGACUUCAUGAAGGUGGAAUCGCUAGUAAUCGCGCAUCAGCAUGGCGCGGUGAAUACGUUCCCGGGCCUU
rnacentral:rRNA from 1 species